rnacentral:rRNA from 1 species
UACAUGGGGUGCAAACGUUGCUCGGAAUUAUUGGGCGUAAAGCGCGCGUAGGCGGUUACUCAAGUCGGAUGUGAAAGCCCUCGGCUUAACUGAGGAAGUGCACCCGAAACUGAGUAGCUAGAGUACUAAAGAGGGUCGCGGAAUUCCCGGUGUAGAGGUGAAAUUCGUAGAUAUUCGGAAGAACACCAGUGGCGAAGGCGGCUCACUGGACCGGUAUUGACGCUGAGGUGCGAAAGCGUGGGGAGCAAACAGG